rnacentral:rRNA from 1 species
CCUACGGGAGGCAGCAGUGGGGAAUAUUGGACAAUGGGGGCAACCCUGAUCCAGCCAUGCCGCGUGUGUGAAGAAGGCCCUCGGGUUGUAAAGCACUUUCAGUGAGGAAGAACGCCUGGUGGUUAAUACCCAUCAGGAAAGACAUCACUCACAGAAGAAGCACCGGCUAACUCCGUGCCAGCAGCCGCGGUAAUACGGAGGGUGCGAGCGUUAAUCGGAAUUACUGGGCGUAAAGCGCGCGUAGGUGGCUUGAUAAGCCGGUUGUGAAAGCCCCGGGCUCAACCUGGGAACGGCAUCCGGAACUGUCAAGCUAGAGUGCAGGAGAGGAAGGUAGAAUUCCCGGUGUAGCGGUGAAAUGCGUAGAGAUCGGGAGGAAUACCAGUGGCGAAGGCGGCCUUCUGGACUGACACUGACACUGAGGUGCGAAAGCGUGGGUAGCAGACAGGAUUAGAUACCCCUGUAGUC